UGCCCAGGCGGAAUGGUAGACGCAAGGGACUUAAAAUCCCUCGGUCGCAAGACCGUGCUGGUUCAAGUCCAGUCUUGGGCGCCCA
rnacentral:tRNA from 1 species